rnacentral:ncRNA from 18 species
UCGUUGCUUUACUUUGCCGGCAAUCGUCAUAGAAUGGCAAGCUUGCAAUGCGAGGAAGCCGGUGAAAACCCGGCACGGUCGCGCCACUGUAUGCGAGUUCGUUGUUAAAGCCACUCGCGAGUCAGACCCCGCUGCAUGCUCUUCGUCUAUC